rnacentral:rRNA from 1 species
GACGAACGCUGGCGGCGUGCUUAACACAUGCAAGUCGUACGGUAAGGCCCUUUCGGGGGUCCACGAGUGGCGAACGGGUGAGUAACACGUGAGUAACCUGCCCACAACUUUGGGAUAACGCUAGGAAACUGGUGCUAAUACUGGAUAUGUGCUCCUGCUGCAUGGUGGGGGUUGGAAAGCUCCGGCGGUUGUGGAUGGACUCGCGGCCUAUCAGCUUGUUGGUGGGGUAGUGGCCUACCAAGGCGGCGACGGGUAGCCGGCCUGAGAGGGUGACCGGCCACAUUGGGACUGAGAUACGGCCCAGACUCCUACGGGAGGCAGCAGUGGGGAAUAUUGCACAAUGGGCGCAAGCCUGAUGCAGCAACGCCGCGUGCGGGAUGACGGCCUUCGGGUUGUAAUCCGCUUUCAGCAGGGACGAAGCUUUUUGUGACGGUACCUGCAGAAGAAGCACCGGCUAACAACGUG